rnacentral:rRNA from 1 species
CAUCCGUGUCUAUUGUACCCUGUUGCUUCGGCGGGCCCGCCGCUUGUCGGCCGCCGGGGGGGCGCCUCUGCCCCCCGGGCCCGUGCCCGCCGGAGACCCCAACACGAACACUGUCUGAAAGCGUGCAGUCUGAGUUGAUUGAAUGCAAUCAGUUAAAACUUUCAACAAUGGAUCUCUUGGUUCCGGCAUCGAUGAAGAACGCAGCGAAAUGCGAUAACUAAUGUGAAUUGCAGAAUUCAGUGAAUCAUCGAGUCUUUGAACGCACAUUGCGCCCCCUGGUAUUCCGGGGGGCAUGCCUGUCCGAGCGUCAUUGCUGCCCUCAAGCCCGGCUUGUGUGUUGGGUCGCCGUCCCCCUCUCCGGGGGGACGGGCCCGAAAGGCAGCGGCGGCACCGCGUCCGAUCCUCGAGCGUAUGGGGCUUUGUCACAUGCUCUGUAGGAUUGGCCGGCGCCUGCCGACGUUUUCCAACCAUUCUUUCCAGGUUGACCUCGGAUCAGGUAGGGAUACCCGCUGAACUUAAGCAUAUCAAUAAGCGGAGGAA